rnacentral:rRNA from 1 species
CCAGACUCCUACGGGAGGCAGCAGUGAGGAAUAUUGGUCAAUGGGCGGGAGCCUGAACCAGCCAAGUCGCGUGAGGGAUGACGGCCCUAUGGGUUGUAAACCUCUUUUGCCGGGGAGCAAAGUGCCGCACGUGUGCGGUCUGGAGAGUACCCGGAGAAAAAGCAUCGGCUAACUCCGUGCCAGCAGCCGCGGUAAUACGGAGGAUGCGAGCGUUAUCCGGAUUUAUUGGGUUUAAAGGGAGCGUAGAUGGGUUGUUAAGUCAGUUGUGAAAGUUUGCGGCUCAACCGUAAAAUUGCAAUUGAUACUGGCAGUCUUGAGUACAGUUGAGGUAGGCGGAAUUCGUGGUGUAGCGGUGAAAUGCUUAGAUAUCACGAAGAACCCCGAUUGCGAAGGCAGCUUACUAAACUGUGACUGACAUUGAUGCUCGAAAGUGUGGGUAUCAAACAGGAUUAGAUACCCCUGUAA